CUGGCAUCGCAUGCGUGUGCAUCUUAGAGAGACUUGAGGGAUCUGAGCUUGGGGACGAGACAGUUAAAGCCUCCUUGUGCGAGCGAGUUAUAUCGCACAGCGCUGGUGCCAGGUCAGCAGUCUGGCUGGAAUUCGAACGUGGCUGGUCAUGCCAGGCGAUGCCAAGAACCCCUGGCAGCACUAAAGAGGAAUUCCAAAUGCAGGUUUCAUACUGCAGCCUGGUAAUGCCGUGUUGACUGCCUCACGAAAGGAAACGAACAGCUGCAUUGGUGCUUCCCAGACAAGUCACAGUGAAGCAUGGAACGCUCCCAGCUGGGUGUCCACUGAUGCUGCGACAAAGAGAUACAUCGGGGUUGAGACUCUGCUCAGGCCACAAUUGGCAAUGCCCAGGGGGUACACUUGGCUCUGGACUCAGGAACCAGUCCUGGCGAUGCUCAUGGGACCAUAUGGGAUGCCACGGAAUGAACUCUGGUUGGGCAAGUGCAAGAAUCCUCACCUUUGCCCCAUGACACCCCAUUUCUGCUGGAAAUAAGAGCCAGUCAGCGUGGUUUCUCCCAUAUCUUCCUCGGCUCAGGGUUUGCAGACUACAGUGGCAGGCUCCUGGAUAUCCAUCCCCUGACACCAUAUGCCCUGUGAAAGAACGGCUCUUCUGUUAUGACAAGGCAAGGUUGACUGUAAAUGUGAUUUCUACGAGUUGCUUACGUGAUUUGUGCAGUCCUGCUGGCAGUGAGAAUGCUGAAAGAAAUAGAAAAGCUAGAGUACACUCCCUGAAGCUGCAGGCGAGGCCCAGAAUGCCAUUUCACUGAGCAAUGGUCUAUAUGGUUUAUGAUUAGUUGUUUUGUCUAGUGUGUUGUUUAUAUUUUUCUGCACAGCUUUUGGCAGAGAAUUGCAAGGGUAUUUGCGGAAAUGGAAAUUUCACACUUUUCUUUAUUAAAAAGCCAAUAUUUAAAGACUUCUUUUAAUUAAAGUAACAUAGAAGAAAGCAGAGAGUUCAGGGUUAUGGUACAUGCCUUCAAUGUUGCUGACAUUUGUUCAAUUCCUGGCUCCAGUGGAGAUCCCUAAUAUAUCUAUAGGGUUGGCCCUGACAAUGCUAGACCCAUCUGACACCACAUUUUCAUAGCCUUGCAUUGAAUUGCUGGUCCAGUUGGGUGAGAAUUGCUGGAAGAGACCACUGCUUCUCCUGAUCACUGACUGGGGAGGACAAAAUAAAGUCAAUUUGCAUAAUGACAAACACAUUUUGUGUCCUCACUGAAAGCCAAUCUUAUGCCUAACUUUAUUCUAUGGUAAGUUAACACAUUUAUCAUAGUAAACACAUCAUAUAAAUCACUAAAAUUUUUAAAAGUGUGUUAUUAAUAUAAACCUACCACUAAGCUAAAUAUAAUUAUUGAGUAAUUGAAUUUGAUCCUCUAGGUAUUGAACACUGAUUUUUAUUUUACUUAUAAACUUAAAAAUUAUUAACUUGCAAAUAAAUAGUGGAAUCUAGUGAAGCUACAGACACGGAUCAUUAGGAUUAUGUGAUAUGGGGAUGACAGGUGUGAAAGAGCACUUAGAUGUUCUGUUCAACUUCUCAAUUGAACAGAAGGGCGAACCAUGGCAUUGCAGCUAAUGGAGGACCAAGACAAACUUAGAAAUCAGAUUUCUUGCCACCUAGUCCAGUGCUGUCCUAAUGUCAAUGUGUUACUAAAGAAAAAUGCUGUGAAGUCUGUUCUCUCUGCUUUUAAUAAAGGAUCGUUUUCCUGUGGAGUCUGAAAUGUUUACACGUCUGUGCGUAGGCAUUGAUUGGAAAUGACAUUCCAUUGAAAGUGCCUCUGAGAAUCAUACAUGGAUCUCCAGCAGGGAAGGGUUAAAGUUGCAGUGAUUUUGCAGGCUGGAUCAAAUGUUCUUGAGAGGCCAUUCUUCACAUCUUGUUUCUUUAACACUGGAAUAGGGCAAGUAAUCAAAGGUGACAAGCUUUCUCUUCUCCUCUGGUCCCACGCUUGGUGCAGGGAAGCCCACAUACACAUUGAUCUGUACUGGCAAUUGCUAAAUUAUGAAAGGCAGAGAGUCCGUAACAUGUAAGGCUAUGUCUUAUUAUUGGGAGGAAAGAAUAAAUAUGCCACUUUCAGAGAAUUCAUAUGAAACAUUUUCUGUCCAAACAGGAGAUUGUAGCAUCUUGAAUUUAUACAUAUUUCUGAUUCAGAUUAUUUUUCUGUUUAACCAUUUUUUUCUUUGGACACUCAAUUAUAGCAAAUUCAGAAUAAGAUCAUUUGAUGGUUCAUGGUCUUUUUAGGAUAUUAGGUUAUCAACAGUGUGCUGAGGCUGUGAGAAAUAGAAGGUAUUAUAGUAGGGGCAUAAACUUAAGUUAAAAAGGAGGGCACCACUUAAAUUAAAAAUGACCUAUAUUCCAUUUUAUCUUGAAUUGCAAGUUACUUUUUGGAGUACGUCAACAAUGUUAAAGGGAAUCUAUCAAAAUGUAUGUGUCAAAUUCAUCAUAGAUAUUAUCACUGUCAAAUCUUUCUAACUUCCUUGCAUGAGAGAGGAUGUUUGUCACAAUUUUAAUAAAGGUUAAAUAAAUCUGGGGGA